rnacentral:tRNA from 1 species
GCUCCAGUGGCGCAAUCGGUCAGCGCGCGGUACUUAUAAUGCCGAGGUUGUGAGUUCGAACCUCAUCUGGAGCA